rnacentral:rRNA from 1 species
UCCUACGGGGGGCAGCAGUGAGGAAUCUUGCGCAAUGGGGGCAACCCUGACGCAGCAACGCCGCGUGAGUGAGGAAGGUCUUCGGAUCGUAAAGCUCUGUCAGUUGGGAAGAAACGCUUGGAGGUUAAUAGCUUCCUUGCUUGACGGUACCAACAGAGGAAGCACCGGCUAACUCCGUGCCAGCAGCCGCGGUAAUACGGGGGGUGCAAGCGUUGUUCGGAAUUAUUGGGCGUAAAGAGCGUGUAGGCGGCCUGAUGGGUCAGAUGUGAAAGCCCUGGGCUUAACCCAGGAAGUGCAUUUGAAACUGUCAGGCUUGAGUAGGGGAGAGGGAAGUGGAAUUCCUGGUGUAGAGGUGAAAUUCGUAGAUAUCAGGAGGAACACCGGUGGCGAAGGCGACUUCCUGGCCCUAUACUGACGCUGAGACGCGAGAGCGUGGGUAGCAAACAGGAUUAGAUACCCCGGUAGUCCC